GCAUUGGUAGUUCAGUGGUAGAAUUCUUACCUUCCAUGCAGUAGAAAAAAAAAAAAAAAUAGAGUCAGGUUCAAUUCCUGGCAAAUGCA
rnacentral:tRNA from 1 species